rnacentral:rRNA from 1 species
GGAGACCUACGGGAGGCAGCAGUGGGGGAUAUUGCACAAUGGGGGAAACCCUGAUGCAGCGACGCCGCGUGAGUGAAGAAGCAUUUCGGUGUGUAAAGCUCUAUCAGCAGGGAAGAAGAAAUGACGGUACCUGACUAAGAAGCCCCGGCUAAUUCCGUGCCAGCAGCCGCGGUAAUACGGAAGGUCCGGGCGUUAUCCGGAUUUAUUGGGUUUAAAGGGAGCGUAGGCCGGCUUUUAAGUCAGCUGUGAAAGUCCGCGGCUCAACCGUGGAAUUGCAGUUGAAACUGGAGGCCUUGAGUGCACAC